GAGCGCCGCCGCGCGUCGGCGCCGCCGAUCGGCCGACGCGCGGCGAGGAUGGGAGCGCGCCGCCGCUGCUCAGCUUCGAGCGGGGCGGCGGAGGCGCCGAGGGGGCGAAUCCGCUCCUCCUACUCGGCGACGACGAAGAAGCCCUAGGAGACGCAGCAUCCGAUGGCGGAGACCUCCGCAUCGGGCUCGAUCUACGGUCGCCGUUGGCCGGAGCCACCUCUUUGCUCGUUCGCAGAGCCCUAAUAGGAGGUGAAGGUACCGGAGGAGUACUAGACCUCGCAGAUCCCACCGAAGAAGAAGGAGUCGGCGCCGAUGUCGGUGGACGAGGCCGAUCUCUGCGAUGAGUCGGCGUCUUCACCGGUGAGCUCACCUCAUCGCUACGACUCUUAGGGGUCGAGAAGAGAAUCUUCGAAGUUCUAUCCUUUUGCGUCGAGGGGUCUUCACCGUGUAUACGAACCAUCGGUCUACACCCCCCUUUACCAUCAAAAUUAGGGAUUGAUCUAAGAAUGAGGCAUUCUAAGACGAAGGGUGAAUCUUUCAAAGGCCAAUCAGAUACACUGUGUAGCUUUGGGACAUACUGUAGAUAUCUCAGAUAUGAAGGGUGCGGAUUCAAGGGAGAAUCUACACGGAGAAGCUCUUUUGGUGCUUGUCUAUAAGCCAUUUCCAACGUCCGCUCCUCCGAUAUGUAUACUUGUCUGUAAAGUAGCAAACUGGCGAGCAUGAACGCGAGCACGGGCCACCCGUGUCUCUCGCAGUGCAGUAGAAGCAUGUCGCGCUCACCCUCUGAAGAAAGCCAGUUGUCACUUGUUCUUAAGAAGUGGUGGAUUGUCUCGAGCGGAAGAAUAGGCCACCCUUCGUAUUGGCGGGGAUAGUCGACGAUUUUUACAUUGUAUUGGGAUAGGAUAUCCAAUAUUUGGAUUCUCCUAUCUCCUUCCAUUAAGUUGAGCACCAUGAAUGAGGAAUUUGGGUAGCAAUUCCUCAGUUGGAUAAUGAUGCUGGUCAUGUAAUCCCUGCACUCAUCUUCUCCCAUUGUUUUGGUGUUUAAGCAACAUUUGAAGACUGAGAACAAGAACAUCAUAGAUUUAAUGUAGCAUUUAAUAAAAGAAUCAUAUAAUAUUUUAUAAUUAAAGUUUCAGUUAUCGAAGGUUUUGUCCUUUUUUUUUUGUGAAAUGCUUGUUGUAUGUAUAAAAGGUGUCCAUAUAAAGCUUACUAUACUAGGAUCUGGUGAGUUAAA